AGACCCGAAACCCGGUGAUCUAGCCAUGGGCAGGUUGAAGGUUGGGUAACACUAACUGGAGGACCGAACCGACUAAUGUUGAAAAAUUAGCGGAUGACCUGUGGCUGGGGGUGAAAGGCCAAUCAAACCGGGAGAUAGCUGGUUCUCCCCGAAAGCUAUUUAGGUAGCGCCUCGUGAAUUCAUCUCCGGGGGUAGAGCACUGUUUCGGCUAGGGGGCCAUCCCGGCUUACCAACCCGAUGCAAACUGCGAAUACCGGAGAAUGUUAUCACGGGAGACACACGGCGGGUGCUAACGUCCGUCGUGAAGAGGGAAACAACCCAGACCGCCAGCUAAGGUCCCAAAGUCAUGGUUAAGUGGGAAACGAUGUGGGAAGGCCCAGACAGCCAGGAUGUUGGCUUAGAAGCAGCCAUCAUUUAAAGAAAGCGUAAUAGCUCACUGGUCGAGUCGGCCUGCGCGGAAGAUGUAACGGGGCUAAACCAUGCACCGAAGCUGCGGCAGCGAACGUAUCACCCAAGACAACUUUACGGAGUUGACGAUUGACGGAGCGAAGCGACGUCAAAGCGUUCAUUAAAGUCGAGUUGGCUUAGGGAUACGUUCGUUGGGUAGGGGAGCGUUCUGUAAGCCUGUGAAGGUGUGUCGUGAGGCAUGCUGGAGGUAUCAGAAGUGCGAAUGCUGACAUAAGUAACGAUAAAGCGGGUGAAAAGCCCGCUCGCCGGAAGACCAAGGGUUCCUGUCCAACGUUAAUCGGGGCAGGGUGAGUCGACCCCUAAGGCGAGGCCGAAAGGCGUAGUCGAUGGGAAACGGGUUAAUAUUCCCGUACUUGGUGUUACUGCGAAGGGGGGACGGAGAAGGCUAUGUUGGCCGGGCGACGGUUGUCCCGGUUUAAGCGUGUAGGUGUGUGUUCCAGGUAAAUCCGGUUCACUUUAACACUGAGGCGUGAUGACGAGGCACUACGGUGCUGAAGCAACAAAUGCCCUGCUUCCAGGAAAAGCCUCUAAGCAUCAGGUAACAUCAAAUCGUACCCCAAACCGACACAGGUGGUCAGGUAGAGAAUACCAAGGCGCUUGAGAGAACUCGGGUGAAGGAACUAGGCAAAAUGGUGCCGUAACUUCGGGAGAAGGCACGCUGACACGUAGGUGAAGUGAUUUACUCACGGAGCUGAAGUCAGUCGAAGAUACCAGCUGGCUGCAACUGUUUAUUAAAAACACAGCACUGUGCAAACACGAAAGUGGACGUAUACGGUGUGACGCCUGCCCGGUGCCGGAAGGUUAAUUGAUGGGGUCAGCG
rnacentral:rRNA from 4 species